AUUGAACGCUGGCGGCAGGCCUAACACAUGCAAGUCGGGCGGCAGCACAGGUACUUGUACCGGGUGGCGAGCGGCGGACGGGUGAGUAAUGCCUAGGAAUCUGCCUGGUAGUGGGGGAUAACGCUCGGAAACGGACGCUAAUACCGCAUACGUCCUACGGGAGAAUGCAGGGGACCGUCGGCCCUGGCGCUAUCAGAUGAGCCUAGGUCGGAUUAUCUAGUUGGUGAGGUAAAGACUCACCAAGGCGACGAUCCGUAACUGGACUGAGAGGAUGAUCAGUCACACUGGAACUGAAAAACGGUCCAGAAGCCUACUGGAGGCAGCAGUGGGGCAUAUUGGACGAUGCGCGAAAGCCUGAUCCAGCCAUGCCGCGUGAGUGAAGAAGGUCUUCGGAUUGUAAAGCACUUUAAGUUGGGAGGAAGGGUCGUUACCUAAUACGUGACGAUUUUGACGUUACCGACAGAAUCAGCACCGGCUAACUCUGUGCCAGCCGCCGCGGUAACAC
rnacentral:rRNA from 1 species